rnacentral:misc_RNA from 1 species
AUGCGAUAAGUAAUGUGAAUUGCAGAAUUCAGUGAAUCAUCGAAUCUUUGAACGCACAUUGCGCUCGCCAGUAUUCUGGCGAGCAUGCCUGUUCGAGCGUCAUUUCAACCAUCAAGCUCUGCUUGCGUUGGGGAUCCGCGGCUGCCCGCGGUCCCUCAAAAACAGUGGCGGGCUCGCUAGUCACACCGAGCGUAGUAACUCUACAUCGCUAUGGUCGUGCGGCGGGUUCUUGCCGUAAAACCCCCAAUUUCUAAGGUUGACCUCGGAUCAGGUAGGAAUACCCGCUGAACUUAA